rnacentral:rRNA from 1 species
GAGUUUGAUUAUGGCUCAGAAUGAACGUUGGCGGCGUGGAUUAGGCAUGCAAGUCGAGCGAGAAGUUUACUUCGGUAAAUGGACAGCGGCGAAAGGGACAGUAAUGUGUAGGUACCUACCCCCCGAUCUGGGAUAGCUGCGGGAAACUGCAGGUAAUACCGGAUAAUGUCUUCGGACCAAAGGUGUGAUUCCGUCAGGGGAGGGGCCUGCAUCCUAUUAGCUUGUUGGUGAGGUAAUGGCUCACCAAGGCAACGAUGGGUAGCGGGUGUGAGAGCAUGACCCGCGUCAUUGGGACUGAGACACUGCCCAGACAUCUACGGAUGGCUGCAGUCGAGAAUCUUCGGCAAUGGGCGAAAGCCUGACCGAGCGACGCCGCGUGCGGGAUGAAGGCCCUCGGGUUGUAAACCGCUGUCGUUGGGGAGGAAAUGCAAAAGGGUUAUCCCUUCUGUUUGACCGAUCCAAGGAGGAAGUACGGGCUAAGUUCGUGCCAGCAGCCGCGGUAAGACGAACCGUACGAACGUUAUUCGGAAUUACUGGGCUUAAAGGGUGCGUAGGCUGCACGGAAAGUUGGGUGUGAAAGCCCUCAGCUCAACUGAGGAAUUGCAUCCAAAACUGCCGUGCUAGAGGGAGACAGAGGUGAGCGGAACUCAAGGUGGAGCGGUGAAAUGCGUUGAUAUCUUGAGGAACACCGGUGGCGAAAGCGGCUCACUGGGUCUCUUCUGACGCUGAGGCACGAAAGCUAAGGUAGCAAACGGGAUUAGAUACCCCGGUAGUCUUAGCUGUAAACGAUGAGCACUUGAUUGGAGGGUCCUCCAUAGCCUUCCAGUCGUAGCGAAAGUGUUAAGUGCUCCGCCUGGGGGGUAUGGUCGCAAGGCUGAAACUCAAAGAAAUUGACGGGGGCUCACACAAGCGGUGGAGGAUGUGGCUUAAUUCGAGGCUACGCGAAGAACCUUAUCCUAGUCUUGA